ensembl:snRNA U6 U6 spliceosomal RNA
GUGAUGCUCACCUCAGCACUACAUUCUUUAAAAUUAGAAUUCUACAGAGAAGAUGAAGUGGCCCCUGCACAGGGAUGACACUCGUGUGAAGUCUUCCGUAUUUUA